UCUGGAUCGAGUUGUUUAUGAAUUGUGCUUUUCUGAACAGAAAGCCCAAAACGAAAAGAGCCAAGAGAUUCCUUGAGAAGAGAGAACCGAAACUCAAUGAAAAUAUUAAAAAUGCCAUGCUGAUUAAAGGGGGAAAUGCAAAUGCAACAGUGACACAAGUACUUAAAGAUGUGUAUGCACUGAAAAAACCAUAUGGUGUACUGUAUAAAAAGAAAAAUAUUACAAGACCUUUUGAGGAUCAGACAUCACUGGAAUUCUUUUCAAAGAAGUCAGAUUGUUCUUUAUUCAUGUUUGGCUCCCAUAAUAAGAAGCGGCCAAAUAAUCUAGUAAUAGGUCGUAUGUAUGACCACCAUGUGCUGGAUAUGAUUGAAUUAGGUAUUGAGAAUUUCGUCUCUCUAAAAGACAUUAAGAACAGUAAAUGUCCUGAGGGAACAAAACCCAUGCUAAUAUUUGCUGGUGAUGAUUUUGAUGUAACAGAAGAUUAUAGAAGACUAAAAAGUCUUCUUAUUGAUUUCUUCAGAGGCCCCACAGUAUCAAAUAUCCGCCUGGCUGGAUUAGAGUAUGUUCUGCACUUCACUGCACUGAAUGGGAAGAUUUACUUUCGAAGCUAUAAGUUGCUGUUGAAGAAAUCUGGUUGCAGAACACCACGGAUUGAAUUGGAAGAGAUGGGACCCUCAUUGGAUCUGGUUUUGAGGAGGACACACCUGGCAUCAGAUGACCUUUAUAAAUUAUCUAUGAAAAUGCCAAAAGCUCUCAAGCCAAAGAAGAAGAAAAAUAUCUCCCAUGAUACUUUUGGUACAACUUAUGGAAGGAUUCAUAUGCAGAAGCAAGACCUAAGCAAACUACAAACCAAGAAAAUGAAGGGGUUGAAGAAGCGACCUGCAGAAAGGAUAACAGAAGACCUGGAGAAAAAGUCAAAAAGAGUUAAAAAAAAUUGAUGGAACUUAGCCAGCCACUACUGUUUCAUUGUGUUCUACUUAAGAGAAUUAUCAAGCGUCAAUCCA